UACGUAUGGUGCAAGCGUUAUCCGGAUUUACUGGGUGUAAAGGGAGCGCAGGCGGAAGGCUAAGUCUGAUGUGAAAUCCCGGGGCUCAACCCCGGUACUGCAUUGGAAACUGGUCAUCUAGAGUGUCGGAGGGGUAAGUGGAAUUCCUAGUGUAGCGGUGAAAUGCGUAGAUAUUAGGAGGAACACCAGUGGCGAAGGCGGCUUACUGGACGAUAACUGACGCUGAGGCUCGAAAGCGUGGGGAGCAAACAGG
rnacentral:rRNA from 1 species